rnacentral:miRNA from 1 species
UCUGGGGGCUCAGCUGAGGAUA